rnacentral:rRNA from 1 species
GACGUAGGAGGCAAGCGUUGUCCGGAAUCAUUGGGCGUAAAGCGCGUGUAGGCGGCCCGAUAAGUCCGCUGUGAAAGUCCAGGGCUCAACCCUGGAAUGCCGGUGGAUACUGUCGGGCUCGAGUCCGGAAGAGGCGAGUGGAAUUCCUGGUGUAGCGGUGAAAUGCGCAGAUAUCAGGAGGAACACCAAUGGCGAAGGCAGCUCGCUGGGACGGUACUGACGCUGAGACGCGAAAGCGUGGGGAGCGAACAGG